rnacentral:rRNA from 1 species
CUACGGGUGGCUCCAGUGGGGAAUUUUGCGCAAUGGGGGAAACCCUGACGCAGCAAUACCGCGUGAGUGAAGAAGGCCUUUGGGUCGUAAAGCUCUUUUCUUGGGGAAGAUAGUGACGGUACCCAAGGAAUAAGCACCGGCUAACUCCGUGCCAGCAGCCGCGGUAAUACGGAGUGUGCAAGCGUUGUUCGGAUUUACUGGGCGUAAAGGGCACGUAGGCGGCACAGCAAGUUAAGGGUGAAAUCCCGGGGCUCAACUCCGGAACUGCUCUUAAAACUGCUGAGCUAGAGAUAGUCAGAGGCGGGUGGAAUUCCAGGUGUAGAGGUGAAAUUCGUAGAUAUCUGGAGGAACACCGGUGGCGAAGGCGGCCCGCUGGGGCUAUUCUGACGCUAAGGUGCGAAAGCGUGGGGAGCAAACGGGAUUAGAUACCCCUGUAGUC